CCACAGCUGCAACCGCACGAGCCAAGUCUUAAGUCUGGUAACAGCGCUUGUUCUCGGCGAGUCUGAGUGAAAAA
rfam:Lactobacillus odoratitofui DSM 19909 = JCM 15043 strain DSM 19909 NODE_139, whole genome shotgun sequence.